AGAAGGUGCUGCACCAAAAACCUCCUAGUGAUUUAUGUGGUUACUAGCAGUUUGCCACGUUUGCUUGUAAUUUUCAUGUUUGUCUGCAAAUACUUGCCAACUACCAGCUGAGCGGAAGUAAAACCUGAAAAAGUGCAAAACAAACUGAAAACGGAGAAAGGUUGUCUUCAAAUUAAAAGCAUGCCUCAACACUACAGCUAAUGCGUUUCAAAAGCCAACUUUCAGUCUGGAGACAAAAGAUCUCAAUGUCCAGUUUAUGUCACAGUUUUCAGUUUCACUACGACUCAGAGAGUAGAUGGGUUGUGUUAGUAGAUAAGUCCGUCACUUCCAUUCAAACUAUAACCACAGCAAUGUGCAAACAAUCAAAUUUAGUCAUUAACAAUACAAAACAAUCACAAGGAGGUUCAACACAUUUGUCACGACCUGCAGAAUCGGCAAGGUGCUGAUCAGAAUCUCUCCACUCCUAGCCCUCCUUCUCUUCUCUUUUUCCUCUCUCUCUCCCUCUCCCCUUCUCUCCCCUGUUUUGCCGGGGCGGAACUCAUGGAGGGUUCACGCCCUCGGUCCACGCCUUCCCGGAUUGUGCACACCUGGGCCUCAUCAGACCAGCUGGUAUAUUAGAAGGAGGAGAUCAGCUGUUCAACGCUGGAUUGUUGUGAAGGCUCUUAUUCCCCGGACCCGUCCCCGUGUUUCCUCGUGUGGAGUGUGGAAGGAGUGACUGGUCGCUAGCGGAGAAGAGAGAGGUUGAACUGAGCGCGUGUGUGAUUUCCCCCUUUUCCCUGGAGCCCUGGACCCCUGCCCCUCACGUCUUGUAUAUAGCACUAACCCCGCACUGUCUGUACAUACACUUGGUGAAGAUCUGUAAAUAAACCGUCUCUGUUUAAACGCUA